AGGACAUUCGCCGUAUUCGAGGGCACGGGGAUACGCGGCCCCGAGCCAAACCUCAUCUCCGGCAACUUCUACCAGUUCUGGACGAAGGACAUGCAAGCGGUCCUGGAAAGCUGGGCGUCCAGAUACGGAGAUAUUUUCGGGUUCUACAACGGCGACGCGCCAAUGGUAGCCGUCAAAGACUUGGAUUUGCUCCGAAGGGUGUUUGUCAGCGACUUCAAGAACUUCUACGAC